rnacentral:rRNA from 2 species
UGGGGAAUAUUGCGCAAUGGGCGGAAGCCUGACGCAGCGACGCCGCGUGAGGGAUGACGGCCUUCGGGUUGUAAACCUCUUUCAGCAGGGACGAAGCGUGAGUGACGGUACCUGCAGAAGAAGCACCGGCCAACUACGUGCCAGCAGCCGCGGUAAUACGUAGGGUGCAAGCGUUGUCCGGAAUUAUUGGGCGUAAAGAGCUCGUAGGCGGUUUGUCGCGUCGGCUGUGAAAGCCCGGAGCUCAACUCCGGGUCUGCAGUCGAUACGGGCAGACUUGAUUGUUGCAGGGGAGACUGGAAUUCCUGGUGUAGCGGUGAAAUGCGCAGAUAUCAGGAGGAACACCGGUGGCGAAGGCGGGUCUCUGGGCAACAACUGACGCUGAGGAGCGAAAGCGUGGGGAGCGAACAGG